UACGUAGGGUGCGAGCGUUGUCCGGAAUUAUUGGGCGUAAAGGGCUCGUAGGCGGUUUGUCGCGUCGGGAGUGAAAACCUCGGGCUUAACUCGGGGCUUGCUUUCGAUACGGGCAGACUAGAGGUAUGCAGGGGAGAACGGAAUUCCUGGUGUAGCGGUGGAAUGCGUAGAUAUCGGGAGGAACACCAGUGGCGAAGGCGGUUGCCUGGAGCUUUGCUGACGCUGAUGCGCGAAAGCGUGGGGAGCGAUCCGG
rnacentral:rRNA from 1 species